AGCGUAAUUAAAGAAGUCGUCUCAUUACUCGUAAUCCCGCUUGUUUGAAACCAAUGUGUUUCUCUGUGAGAGGAAGGGCAUCUCCAAGUACACAGAGAUAGAUGGCGAGCGCAACUUCGUCUCGAAGCAAGCGAAAUUAGGGUUUUCGAGAGUGGUUAACGAUUGCUGGAUAUAUUGGCUGGCACUGGUGUAUUGGAGAAUUUCUUUUACUCCGGAGACAUGAGCAGGCAACCACUGAUAUAUAGUUUUGUUGCGAAAGGCACUGUUGUGCUUGCUGAGCACACUUCUUUUUCUGGGAAUUGUAAUACUAUCGCGAUCCAGUGCUUACAGAAGCUGCCACCAAAUUCUAACAAGUUCACUUAUUCAUGCGAUGGGCAUAUGUUCAACUUCCUUGUUGAUAAAGGGUUUGUUUUCCUUGUUGUGACUGAUGAGUCAAUUGGGAGGAGUGUACCAUUUGUCUUUCUAGAGCGAGUUAAGGAUGAUUUCAUGCAGCGUUAUGGAUUGGGUAUUAACGAUGGAGGCUUCCACACGCUUGCUGAUGACGAUGAUGAUGAUCUGUUUGAAGAUAGGUUCAGUGUUGCCUACAGUCUUGAUCGGGAGUUCGGUCCCAGGCUGAAGGAGCAUAUGCAGUAUUGCGUAAAUCAUCCAGAAGAAAUGGGCAAGCUAUCCAACCUGAAAGCUCAGAUUACAGAGGUUAAAGGAAUAAUGAUGGACAAUAUUGAGAAGGUUCUUGAUCGGGGAGAGAAAAUUGAACUUUUGGUGGACAAGACUGAAAGUUUGCAAUUUCAGGCUGACAGCUUUCAGAGACAGGGCAGGCAACUCCGACGGAAGAUGUGGCUUCAGAACCUUCGAUUCAAGCUGAUGGUAGCUGGUGCUGUAAUGGCACUCAUACUCUUAGUCUGGUUGAUGGCCUGCAAAGGGUUCAAGUGUUGAUGGGAGAAAGAUGAGAUAUCAUGUUUCUGUUUCCUUUCCCCCUCUUUUUCUGUAUGACGACUGGUGUCCUGUGCAUAUGCUGCAAUGUGAAAAGGAUAUUGACAUUAAAAAUUUUCAUGAUGAUUGAUGUAGGAGCAAAGGUGUGCAGAUCUGUGAACCUGUCAGAGUUGCUGAUGGAAUUUUACAGACUUGGAAUCAGGUGUUUCAGUUAUUGGCAGAGUUCCUACUUAAAGUAGAAUUGUUGAGAUCAAACACAUCUAAUGCUAUCCAAACUUGUUUCAUCCUGUUUUUCAAAUCUCCGACUGAUCUUUUAAAAAGAUUGAUAUAAAAUAGCCCAUGAUAUGUAGGUUUUUUCUUCAAAUUGUGUAUUCUGAUCUUACCUACUUAAGGCUGUUGGCUGUGUACUUCAUGAUUGGUGGUUAUUAAACUUAAUAUUAUGGUCUU